GUCCUCUUGGAUUUUUAUUUGAGGUUUAACCUGCCCACUGAAUUUUUUUUGAAGGGCCGCAGUAAUUUGACUGUGCAAAGGUAGCAUAAUCAUUAGUUUUUUAAUUAAAAGCUUGUAUGAAGGGUUGGACGAGGUAAAUUCUGUCUCUAAGUAAGUUAAUAUAGAAUUUAAUUUUUAAGUUAAAAAGCUUAAAUUAUUUUAAAAGACGAGAAGACCCUAUAGAUCUUUAUAUUAUAUUUAUUGAUUUUAAUUAGGAUUAUUUAAUUUUUUAAUAAUUAUAUUAUUUUAUUGGGGUAAUAAAAAGAUUUACAUAAUUCUUUUUUAUUUUUACAUUAAUAAAUGAUUUUGUGAUCCAAUUUUAUUGAAUAAAAGAUUAAGUUACCUUAGGGAUAACAGCGUAAUUUUUUUGGAGAGUUCAUAUCGAUAAAAAAGUUUGCGACCUCGAUGUUGGAUUAAAAAUUAUUUUAGGUGUAGAAGCUUAAAGUUUUGGUCUGUUCGACCAUUAAAUUUUU
rnacentral:rRNA from 1 species